rnacentral:lncRNA from 10 species
AUUCCUGGAGACAGGGAAGAGGCUCCAGAGGGUGAUUAAGUAACAAGCAGGAAUCAACAGCAUGAGCAAAGCAGGAAGGAGGUUCUAGGCAGAGGAGCAGUAAACUUUAAAAAACAGGGAAACAAUUAGUGGAUACUUCAGUAUGACUGGAGAACAGGAGCCAGUAAAAUAAAACCGGAAUAGGUGAAAGAGAUGGGUCAGGGCCUUAUCACAGAGUUCCUUUUAUGUUACCCACACAUGUGUUCAUUCACUCAACAAAUAUUUAUUGAGCACAUUCUCAGUGUCCUACACCCUUCUAGGCACUGGGAAUAUAGCAGUGGAGAAAACACACAGUUCUUGAUUUCAUGGAGCUUACACUCUAGUGAGGAGAGACAAACAAGUAAACAGAUAAGAUUCGCACUGUGAAAAAAGAAAAAAAAGGGAGAGAGAAAAAAACAAGCUGGAUGAGGAAGUGGGAAGAGAUGACAGAUGCUGUUUCAUCCAGGGUGCUCAGGAUGGCAAUUGGACAGCAACUUGAAGGAAGAGAAAAAGCGGGUCAGAAGAGAGCGCUGACCAGCAACCCCAUCACAACAGUUUGGUGUUCACAGAUCUCAGCUGGGCCUCAGCAACACUCAGCCAUGUCACCAUGUGUCCUUGCUCAGCUGCGUGGCCCACACUCCACAACAGCCCUCUAGACCUUUCCCAGUUCCAUGGGCCCUGUACCAACUGACCUGCCCUUUCUUACAGCAGAUGACGUUGCUUUCUUACUGCAAUGAGUAAUUCCAGGCCACUAAGGCACGGCUUCCAUUUUCUGUUCCCACAACUGCAAAUAUCUGUUUUUGCGUGCACCCAGCUUGGACACAACUUGCCAAAAGCCAGUGCACUGAAAUUCAAUUCACUGAUUCACCAAUUUGAUGAAGACAGUUGACAGUACAAUUUGCUAAAUUUACCUACUCCCUUAUUUAUCAAACAAGUUCUUAGAACCACUUUAACAAUGAUUACUUAACAACUUUAAGAAUGCUUUAUUUUUACUACCAAUGAUGAAAUAUAACUUUCUAAAUAUUAACUAUUUCAUUAUCAGAAACCAAAAUUUUAUCACUUUAUAAACACAUUUUUUGGUUAAUAUCAUUUUUUAACUCCACUCAGAAAUCUCUUUUAAUGUCUUUUUGUUGUUGUUUUCACAAAUCUUUUAGAAUUUCUAGAAUUUUUAAUUCUUCUUUCACAUUUCUAUGUGAAAUACGAAAUUUGAGGUACAAGCAUACAACCUACCACAGUAUUUUGAGAAUUCUUAUUCCCUUUCCCCAGAUGUGAAUGGCUUUAAUAUUUUAUGUCUAAUUCCUCAGCAAACUACUAACAAGUCAACACAAUCAAAUUGUUCCUUAUUAAAAAUGAAAAAAUCAACAUUUUAGCAACGUUUUUAGUUCAUACUGAUUUCCUUAGCAUUUUUUCAUUUAGUUUAUCUUUAAAAUUUUAAUUGCUACAAAUAUACACAAGGCUGAUUUGAGGGAUUUGCAAAAGAAUACCUAAAAUCCUGGAAGGCUUUUGAAAACAGAAAAAUGCAUUCACAAGCAACAGAAAGAAAUCAGAAGUAACAAAGAGCUUAUUACAUUUGAAAUACAGAAGUUUGAGUUAUAGAAAAAUAGUAUUUUAUGUGAAAAAAAUGUUUUAUAGUGAUUUUUCUUUGGUCCACUUUUCAGAAUUUUAAAAUAUGCUUCCCAGUCACUCAAAGGGCAGAAGAAUUUUAGAUUAGUUCAUAAUUAGAAAAUCUUAUUAUGUAAUCAGUAGCCAAAAAUGAACAUUUCUGCCAAAGCUUUUAGAACAGUCACUUUGAAGCUUUUAAACUGUAACACAUUUAAUAAAUUGGUCAUUUGAUGAAUUGAAUUUUGACAAAUUGAGUUUUUGAGAAUUAGCUUUUGGUCAUAUUGCCUGAUUUUUGAAAGACUCCAUUAUUCUCACCCUGGGGAAGUCUGUGCCUACAAAGGCUUCCUGUGGGGAAGUGAUCUCCCGGUUGGUUGUAUUCUUUUUUUUCUUUCUUUCUUUCUUUUUUUUUUUUUUUUUUUUUUUUGAGACUGCAUAUUGCUCUAUCACCCAGGCUGGAGUGCAUUGGCACAAUCUCGGCUCACUGCAACCUCUGCCUCCCGGGUUCAAGCGACUCUUGUGCCUCAGCCUCCCGAGUAGCUGGGAUUACAGGCGCCCACCACCAUGCCUGGCUAAUUUUUUUUAUAUUUUUAGUAGAGAUGAGGUUUCACCAUGUUGGCCAAGCUGGUCUUGAACUUCUGACCUUAAAUGAUACACCCACCUGGGCCUCCCAAAGUGCUGGGAUUAUAGGCGUGAGCCACCGCGCCUGGCCAGCUGUAUUCUUAUCUGUCCAAUCCUACUGACACUUCCAAUUAGAUCACGAGGCUUGGCCAAAUCUCAGGAUCUGUCACUUCAGCUUCCUUGGUAAGACAGGAUGCAACUGGGACAUGAGCUGUACCAACCCCUUAGCUGCAGUUGAAUUCACUUCUGUUAAUCCCCCCUGUAUCACUGUGUUAGGAUCAAAACCUUUCUGUCAGUUCAUAAUGCAGCAAGGAUCUCUGUUGAAACACUGACUUCUAUUUUUAAGUGAGUCCCAGGUCCAGAGGGCAUCCCAUUCUGAUUGAGUACCUAAUACUCUUGAUACCUAAAUCCUAGCAUUCUUGUUUGGAGCACAGUUAUUCUCCAUUUACUAUGAGAGUGUCAUCCCAGAUUUGCAGAAGAAAAAGCUGAAGAUUUCUCUGAAAUUACAAGAACUUUCUCUUCGGUUAGCCUAGUGUAG